UUCCCUCAUUUUCUCUCUCCAAACCCUUCAAUCUCUCUAUCUCCAUCUCUAUCUCCACAUCUCUUUCCUUUACCUUACCUUACCCAGCCGUGAUCGCCCAAGACGUUGACGACCGCCGCGAAGUCCAAAACCCACGUCGAAAACCCAGCCGACGUCCCAGCCGAUCGCUACGAAGUCCAAAACCCAACUGACGACCGUCGAAGACCACGCCGCCCGAAAACCCCCGCCGUGUGAAGACCCCCGCCGCCAAAGACCACGCCGCCUGAACACCCACCCGCCCAAACAUGCCCGCCGCCCGAACACGUCCGCCGCCCGAACACGCCCACUGCUCGAACACGCCUGCCGCGCGAAGACCCGCGCCGACGACCCGCGUCACGUUUUCAACCGUCGUUAUCUUGCAGCAACUUUUCGGUCACCAAUCAGCAAGGUUUCGAGCCUUUUCGGUAAGAGUCGAUGCUGAGGGAACUGAAUUGUGGACAUGCAUGUGUUCAACUGAUGGCUUCCCAAAAGUUAUAGCCGAUAACCGUGAUUCCAACUGUUUUACGUCAUGCAACUGCACUUAUGAUAUACAUCAAUCUUUUAACUUUGUUGUUUGAUUAUUUUUAGUCCAUGUGUAUCUUAACAGUUUCACAAUUUGCCAUUAAUCACCAAGAAAGGGUAGAACCAAUUUUAUAAAUGCAAUUGAGUUUAUGUGUAUGGAUAUAUACUAUUUUUCGUAAUUGAUAUAAAUAGCAAAGAUCAUUUAAUAAUUUCGUCAACUAUUGAAUCCCAUUUAGAUUGUUGUCUGAAUUAUUAUUGAUAUUAUUAUUGAAUUCUACUCAAGAACAUUCCUUCAAAAAUUUAACUUGUUCAUUUUGUUUUAUACUGCUUUUGAUACUUGCCUGGGCAUCCAUUGCAAUUUCGUCGUUGUCACUUCUUUAUUGUUUAAUUUUGAAAUUUGGCAGCUAUUUAGGCUUCUCAGCUUUGGAUUUGAUUGUGGAUUAGUUAUGUUUUAUCUUAGUAUAUUGCACUAAUUCUAUAUUCGAUCUGAAUAUUAAUUUCACUUAAAUUGUUGAAGAUAAUGAUAUCUCAUGGCUUAUGUUGGUUUUAUCAAAAUUUCCUUAAAAUGAUUUAUGUGUUGUUGACUUAGUUAUAUCCAACACUUCGGAAAAUACAGUAGCGUAUUUGAAUUCCUUCACUCUUCUCUUAACAUUUCGCUCACCCCUUGUUAUUCUCUGGCUCUUCUCUUUUUUCAUAUCCUUAAUAUUUAUUUGAAUUUAUUAGAUAGAUAAUCCUUUAAAAAUAUUAAUUAAUUCUAUUAUAGAUUAUUCUUCCUAUAUAGUAGAGAAAAAUCUGUUAAUAUUCUUUGACCUAUUUUAAAUGAAUAUUUAUUUAUAAAUUGUAUUCCCGUUAUAUAACAAUGUAAUAUCUUUCAUUUUCAACCGGGAUAUAUCUUUGAAAUUUUUUCCAACCUUAAAUUGGUUUCAACCUCGAUUUUGGGUAAGAUAAUUUAGGAGAAUUUUUUGAUGAUAGCCAAUUGUUAAUUUUAUUAAUGAAGAUACUGGAAUUUUCUUUUA